rnacentral:rRNA from 1 species
CAGGGAAUCUUCCACAAAUGGACGAAAGUCUGAUGGAGCAACGCCGCGUGAGUGAAGAAGGGUUUCGGCUCGUAAAACUCUGUUGUUAAAGAAGAACAUAUCUGAGAGUAACUGUUCAGGUAUUGACGGUAUUUAACCAGAAAGCCACGGCUAACUACGCGCCAG